ACCGCAACAUCAUGAGAAGUCCACUCAACCUUAUCAUUUAGAUGAAGGAGAAGUCGUAACAAGGUUUAUGUAGGUGAACCUACGGAAGGAUCAUUG
rnacentral:rRNA from 1 species